GUAAAAAUGGAAAAUAGAUGAAACCCAAAGUAUUUCCAAGGUGUCUUUCUCUGUGUUUCUGUUUUGCAGGUUUUAAAAGCAGAAUUAAAGUGUCAAGCAGAGGGAAAUUUCUCUGAUGCAGCAUUUACAUAAGAAACACGUUCAGAAAAAGAGGCUGUGAUUCUGAAGGUGUCCUUAUUAUACUGCACUAAAAAUCUCCCUUGGGAUCGGAGGAGGUUUAAAUUAGUCUGGGAGAGGAGAAAAUCAUAUCCCCCUUUUCAAAUGGCAGAUCUCUCCCCAAACUGAAAAAUUUCCCGAAGGAAAUGGCCAUACUGUGUUCAGGAGCAGACAAAGCCCUCUUUGUGUAAGGGCUCCACCUUCUUGAGCCCUCAGUGCAAUUCCCUGGCUCCUCCUAGGUCUGUUUAACAAGUCCUGACAUUGCACUUAGUGCUUCAUCAUGGGCCUCGAGCACAGCUCUCAAGGAGACCCUUGUUAGCAGUUGUGCAUUUUGCUCUAGAAAUGCAUCCGCAGGCCAUUUAGUUGACUCGGGAAAUCAAAGUCAGUGGGAAUAGCACAAAAUGUCAUGCACUUUUACAAGCCCACCUUAUGUAUGUAUGUAUGUAUGUAUGUAUGUAUGUAUGUGUAUCUAUUUUCUCCAAAAUUUAUCAAAUAUUUGCUUGCUAAACUGCAUAGAAUUUCACAUACAAGAGUAACGCUAUGUACGCAAUGUUCUGGUUACCUAUUGCUGAAUAACAAACUCCCCUAAGCUUGGUGACCUAAACAGCACCCAUUUUAUUAUGUAUUGUGAUUUUGUAGAUCAGGACUGGGGCGGGGCUCAGCUGGGUGAUUCUCCUGCUCCAGGUGGCAUCAACUGGGAUCGCUCGGUGGCCGUCAGCUAGUGGUGAGGCUGAUCUAGAGGGUCCAAAACAACUGUACUCACAUACCUGGCACCUUGGCAGGGAUGGCUAUAGGGCUGGACUUGAGGGGCACGUAGACAGAUGGCCCUUCCACAUGGUCUCUCCAGCAGGAUGGCCGGACUUCCUACAUAACGGCUCAGGUGUCCGACCCCAAGUGUGCAUAAAGCCAAGAUGGACAAGACCUAGUUGGAUUUCAAACCCAUUCAUUCAUUAAGUGUAUUUCUGUUAUUUUGCUGUGUGCAGGGAUAUGGAGAAGAGAUAUAAUCCUUCUUCUCUCACUGCUCCUGUUCCAAAGCAGGCAAAUAGAUAUGAAGGAAUCAGUACAAUAAGGUGGUGUAUGAUAGUCUGGUAGUCACCCUAUGGGGCGCUGUGGGUGGGUCAUAAACACUAAAUAGGAGGUCAGUCCGACCUAGGGGCACGUGGUAGGGAAGUGGAUCUCCUUUGGAGCCCCGGUGUUCUAAAUUGCUUCCUCACCCUCUUUCCCCUUACUUCACCUCCACCCUGCCUCGGACACCCAUUUACUGUGCCCAGGACUCAUCGGUGUCAUUGCUACUGCAGUGAGGUCAUGGUGUGGCCCAGAAACACAGGGAGAGGAAAUAGACCCCACCUAUCCAUGGGAAGAGGAUCAAAGAACUUGUAUCCAUCUCUGGUCCAAUGGCCAACGACAGCUAGUACCGCCAGACUGUUUUCCGGGAAUAAGAGUAGACUACGUGGAACCAUCAAAUCCGAGAUUUGGAAGGGUUUCAUGGUGUGAGGAUGUGGCCGCUGUCUUCUGACCCAGGAAAACAGCCCAAGGACGGUGCGAGGAUGUGGCCGCUGUCUUCUGACCAGGAAAACAGCCCGAGGACAAGGCCAAGAGGUGAAUUCUUGCCGUCUUCCCUGCACAAUUUGUUUGCGCCAUCAGGUCCCUACCACGUGUAUCAACAACAGAAGUUGUUGGGGAAACUGAUGCCAAGAGAGCUUUCAGGUGUCCCACCCAUCCAGAGGGCAGCUGAUAUCUGCGGGUGCUGAGGGGAAGGCAGAUCAGCCAGACCAGAGAGAAGAUACUGCAUGCAAGAAAAAAGAACAGAGUGAAACAAAAAAGGAGCAUUCUGAAGCCAAAAUGAAAUUCUUGGAAAUUAAAAACAACAGAAAUGAAAAAAUAGUAAAUAUCUCGGAAAGUAGAGCAAAAAAUCAAAGAUAUUUUAAAAAUUAGAAAAGAAAGCAAAAUUAAAAGACUAGUCCAAGAAGUCCAGACUGUAAAUAGUAGGAGUUCCAGAGAGAGAGAGAGAGAAAAGAGAGAAGAGAAAACAAGACAGAACAGGGUUAAUCACAAAUGAAAUUAUUUCCCCAAAUUUCCCAGAGAUUAAAAAAAGACAAAUGUUUCCAGCUUUGAAGAAUACAUCAAAUGUUGGGUCACAGUGAAUGGAAAAUAAAUCCACACUGAGGCACAUCAUUGGAAAUUUUCCAAAAAUUGGAGGAAAUAAAGAGUCUACAAGAUUCUAGAGAAAGAAAAAGGUCACAUACAAGGAUCAGAAUUAGAAUAGUUUCAGACUUCUCAAUAGCAUCCCUGGAAACAAAAAGAAAAUGAACAACGUAUUCCAAAUUCUGAAAGGAAAUGCUCUCUAACCUAGAGUUCCAUACCCAGCCAAAUUACAAAAAAAAAAAAAAAAAAAAAAAAACCAAAGAUAGAACAAAGACAUUUUCAGACACGCAAAGUCUCAAGAAUGUAUUUCCCAGGCAGCCUUUCCCAAGAAAGGGAAAGAUGUAACAGACACAGAAGUUUCAACACUGGAGGGAAGUAAAGGGGAUUUCCAGGAGGAUGGUGAAAAACACAGAGGCCAGCAGCCCGGAUGGGUACAGCCCCAGUCAAGAGACAGGCGUGUUGGGAGAUGCCCAGAUUCACUCUAUCUUUUUUUCAACUCAUGGACAGAAUGCUCAGAUGAACGGCAUUGAAAAAUCACAAAUCUGAGAAAUCGAGGACAAAGCCAUGGACAUAGGAAUUGCUGUGUGGGCCAGAAUCCAAGGACCAAGGGUACAGAGUUCUCCUCCUUUAGACCUUGCAAAAUGCGGGCUGUCCUUCCUGGUGGCAAGUUCAGAGGGUCGAGGCACACUACGCAGUCAACCAACAGAUUAACCUGGCCUCCACAGAGGAUGAGCUUUCUCCACGUCACAGGCCAGGCAUGCAAAGGACCCCACAGUUUCAGCGGUUUAACCUCGGAAGCAUGUGAGGAAGCCUGCCCCAGCAGACUCUGGGAGGCGUCUGUGUUCUGUCCCCAGGGGGGUUCCUGCUUCUGCUAAGUAACAGGUGAGGCUUGUCACCUCUCUGCUGCCUUUUACCCUUCUCGCAGGCACUCCCAGGGCCUGAUCAAUGGUGGGGAUGGGGAACAGAGACAAGUGGGUGUUGGCAAAGUGCUGGUGGGCUUACCAGACAGACUGUUAUCCAGGCAGUUCUGCCGGCCUGCAGUCCUGCACCGGGCCUCAGGGGCCACCACCCUGCCCUCUGCACAGCUGGGUUCAAAGAUGCAGAAAGAAGUCUGAAG